CUACGGGCCGCUCCAGUGAGGAAUUUUGCGCAAUGGGGGAAACCCUGACGCAGCAACGCCGCGUGAGCGAAGAAGGCCUUCGGGUCGUAAAGCUCUGUCAAGUGGGAAAAAAAUUCUUUGAUCAAUAGUCAAAGGACUUGAUGGUACCACUGGAGGAAGCACCGGCUAACGAUCCGUGCCAGCAGCCGCGGUAAUACGGAGGGUGCAAGCGUUGUUCGGAAUUACUGGGCGUAAAGAGCGUGUAGGCGGUUUGGCAAGUCAGAUGUGAAAGCCCUGGGCUCAACCUGGGAAGUGCAUUUGAAACUGCUUGACUAGAGUAUGGGAGAGGAGAUUGGAAUUCCUGGUGUAGAGGUGAAAUUCGUAGAUAUCAGGAGGAACACCCGUGGCGAAGGCGAUUCUCUGGACCAAUACUGACGCUGAGACGCGAAAGCGUGGGGAGCAAACAGGAUUAGAUACCCCGGUAGUC
rnacentral:rRNA from 1 species